GGCCGAGUGGCGGAAUGGUAGACGCACAGGACUUAAAAUCCUGUGGGGAGUCAUCCCCGUGCGGGUUCGAAUCCCGCCUCGGCUA
rnacentral:tRNA from 2 species